GAAAUGCGAUAAGUAAUGUGAAUUGCAGAAUUCCGUGAGUCAUCGAAUCUUUGAACGCACAUUGCGCCCGCCAGUAUUCUGGCGGGCAUGCCUGUUCGAGCGUCAUUUCAACCAUCAAGCCCUAGGCUUGCGUUGGGGGCCUGCGGCUGCCGCAGCCCCCUAAAAGCAGUGGCGGGCUCGCUGUCAUUCCGAGCGCAGUAGUUACAUCUCGCUCUGGGCGUGGCGGUGAGCACCUGCCGUAAAACACUUUUUCUAAGGUUGACCUCGGAUCAGGUAGGAAUACCCGCUGAACUUAA
rnacentral:misc_RNA from 1 species